GAUCAAAGUGUAGUAUCUGUUCUUAUCAGCUUAAUAUCUGAUACGUACCCUACCAGGGUACUUCGAUAUUAAACUGAUUUUUGGAACUGGGAGGAGAGCCAGGAGCUUGCUCCGACUCCUCCACGUGUUGGCC
rnacentral:snRNA from 1 species